CCCAGCUCCAAUCACGGCCACCUUCUUCGCCAUGGUCUUCUGUUAAGGAGUGGAUCAAUCAGUAUUGCUUCGCUGGGACAAGAGGGUAUCAAACGUUUCUAAAAGCUACAGACACAGAAAUGAACAGAAGAAAGAAUACUCCCUACCUUCACGGAGCUUGCCUUUUAGUGAAGGGAGUCAGAAAACUUAUUCUUAAAACCAUGAUUCUUAAACAACACAGUAAGCCACCUAGACUGAACAGACAUGUACAAAACGUCCAUCCAAUGAAAAGAGCAUAAGUGCUCUUCCCAAGUCUACAUGGGACAUUCUCCAGAAUAGAGUAUAUGUUAGGCACACAUUAAGUCUCAACAGAUGUAAGAAGAUAAAUGUGAUACAAAAUAUCUUCUCAUUAGAGAAGUUGUGGUUACACAAUGGGAUGAAUUUAGAAAUAAAUAAAGCCGGACAAUUCACAAAAGUAUGGAAAUCAACACAUUUUAAACAACCAGUGGCUCAAAGAAGAAACCACAAGAGAAAUUAGAAAGUACUUAGAGACAAAUGAAAAUAAAACAGCAUACCAGAACUUAUGGGACACAGCAAAAGUGGUGCUAAGGGGGGAAUUUAUAGCUAUAGAUGCUUACAUUAAAAAACGAGAUCUCAAAUAAAAAACCUAGCUUUAUGACUUAAGGAAGUAGAGAGGAGAAGAACAAUCUAAACCCAAAGCAGCAGAAGGGAGGAGAUAAUAAAGAUUAGAGCAGAGAUAAAUGAAAUAUAUACGAAAUAAGACAAUAAAAACAG